GUAGGUGGCAAGCGUUGUCCGGAAUUAUUGGGCGUAAAGCGCGCGCAGGCGGUUCUUUAAGUCUGAUGUGAAAGCCCACGGCUCAACCGUGGAGGGUCAUUGGAAACUGGAGAACUUGAGUACAGACGAGGAAAGCGGAAUUCCACGUGUAGCGGUGAAAUGCGUAGAGAUGUGGAGGAACACCAGUGGCGAAGGCGGCUUUCUGGUCUGUAACUGACGCUGAGGCGCGAAAGCGUGGGGAGCAAACAGGAUUAGAUACCCUGGUAGUCCACGCCGUAAACGAUGAGUGCUAAGUGUUAGGGGGUUUCCGCCCCCUUAGUGCUGCAGCUAACGCAUUAAGCACUCCGCCUGGGAGUACGGCCGCAAGGCUG
rnacentral:rRNA from 1 species